UUCAUUAAAAAAAAAGCAAAAUAUUACAUAUAAUAUUACAUUAAAAACAAAGGACACGACAUUUUGUAAGUCCAAAACAAAGAAAGAUUAUUAAGCGGCAAAUGAAAGUAAUUAGGCACCAAAUAAAAGUGAGAAAAUAAAAAAAAAUGAAAAAAAAAUUGAAUCCCUAAUCUCUCUCUAUGACAUCCGCUCUCUCUCUCUCUAUGUAUACUGAAAUCCGACCGAAGAACACCAUAAGCAGGCCUACUGAAGUCUUUAGUUUCUCACCACUCUCUUCUGUUGAGCCGUUGAAGCGCACACGACCACAACACUGCCGAAGCAAGAACCAGGAACUUCUGAGGCAGAUGGGCAGGAUGGAAGCCAAGUUAAGGCAAAUAUUCCAAUUGCUCCCCCCACUAAGCUCAGCAUAGUAGGAUUAACUCCUUCCACUUAGCGUAAAUCAUUCUCAAGCUCAUCACAGGCUAACAAAUUAUUUCCUUGAAUCCUUUGCCUUUGAAGAAACAUGGCUGUGGUAGAAGCCCAAUACAUGCUUGUUCAGAGGAGGAGUUUUUGAAGGAUGUGAUGCAGUUUCUAAUGCUUCGAGGACAUACCCGACUUAUCCCUCAAAGUGGGAUUACUGAGUUUCUGGAUGCCAUACUCAAUGGAAAGCGUGUUGACCUCUACAAUUUGUUCAAAGAGGUGGUUACCAGAGGUGGCUUUCAUGUUGGUAAUGGCAUUAACUGGAAAGGACAGAUAUUCUCUAAGAUGAGCAAUUACACCAUGACCAAUAGAAUGACUGUAUGUACAGAACUCUUUGAUGUAAUACCACUUUAGUUAUCUUAUGACAAUAAGGAUGACCAAAAUAAGUGUGAUUAUGGCCUUGGAAGAGGUGAUAUUUAGAUUAUAAAAUAUGCAUUAGAGAGAUUAUGGGAAACA